AGCUCCUGAGACCCAGAGCAGAGAACUGAGCCACAGCAUGUCCAGACUUAGGACCUACAGAACCUCUGAGAGCCCCAAUAAAGAUAUAUUUCCCUAGACUCCUUCUAUCCAGGCUGGCCAGUUGCAUGGGAUCCAGCUCAGGAGUCUGAUUACCUGGUGAAUGGUGGCAAAGAAAGGUAAAAAAAAAGCAACAAUCUCUGAAAUUACCUUUUGAAAGGGAGCUGUUCAGGAGAAUCAUCCAAUAAGAAACAUCACAUUGGACUUUGUACUGGUUAGGAAAAACUUCUGUGUGUAUGUGUGUGUGUAUACAUAUAUGUGUGCAUGUAUAUACAUACCACAUAUAUACACACUUUUAUUUAUGACAAGUCACUGAGAUUUUGGGUAGGCAUUAAUUUUGGUAAGAAUUAUAGAAACUGAUACUUUGAAGUAGUGUGUUCCUAUAACAGCAAGAACACUGAUAUCAGAUUCUGGAAAAAUCACUAUCUAACAAUAGAAAUAGUAGAAAACAAUAUUGGCAAAAUGGUUGCCUGUAGUAAUUUGGGAGGCAGAUUAUAGGGAUACUGAUCUGUUAACUGUAGAUAGGAAAGAAACGGAAUAGUGUAUG